GACGAACGCUGGCGGCGUGCCUAAUACAUGCAAGUAGAACGCACAGUUUAUACCGUAGCUUGCUACACCAUAGACUGUGAGUUGCGAACGGGUGAGUAACGCGUAGGUAACCUGCCUGGUAGCGGGGGAUAACUAUUGGAAACGAUAGCUAAUACCGCAUAAUAUUAAUUAUUGCAUGAUAAUUAAUUGAAAGGUGCAAUUGCACCACUACCAGAUGGACCUGCGUUGUAUUAGCUAGUAGGUGAGGUAACGGCUCACCUAGGCGACGAUACAUAGCCGACCUGAGAGGGUGAUCGGCCACACUGGGACUGAGACACGGCCCAGACUCCUACGGGAGGCAGCAGUAGGGAAUCUUCGGCAAUGGACGAAAGUCUGACCGAGCAACGCCGCGUGAGUGAAGAAGGUUUUCGGAUCGUAAAGCUCUGUUGUAAGAGAAGAACGGGUGUGAGAGUGGAAAGUUCACACU
rnacentral:rRNA from 1 species